UGCAAGUCGAACGAACUCUGGUAUUGAUUGGUGCUUGCAUCAUGAUUUACAUUUGAGUGAGUGGCGAACUGGUGAGUAACACGUGGGAAACCUGCCCAGAAGCGGGGGAUAACACCUGGAAACAGAUGCUAAUACCGCAUAACAACUUGGACCGCAUGGUCCGAGCUUGAAAGAUGGCUUCGGCUAUCACUUUUGGAUGGUCCCGCGGCGUAUUAGCUAGAUGGUGGGGUAACGGCUCACCAUGGCAAUGAUACGUAGCCGACCUGAGAGGGUAAUCGGCCACAUUGGGACUGAGACACGGCCCAAACUCCUACGGGAGGCAGCAGUAGGGAAUCUUCCACAAUGGACGAAAGUCUGAUGGAGCAACGCCGCGUGAGUGAAGAAGGGUUUCGGCUCGUAAAACUCUGUUGUUAAAGAAGAACAUAUCUGAGAGUAACUGUUCAGGUAUUGACGGUAUUUAACCAGAAAGCCACGGCUAACUACGUGCCAGCAGCCGCGGUAAUACGUAGGUGGCAAGCGUUGUCCGGAUUUAUUGGGCGUAAAGCGAGCGCAGGCGGUUUUUUAAGUCUGAUGUGAAAGCCUUCGGCUCAACCGAAGAAGUGCAUCGGAAACUGGGAAACUUGAGUGCAGAAGAGGACAGUGGAACUCCAUGUGUAGCGGUGAAAUGCGUAGAUAUAUGGAAGAACACCAGUGGCGAAGGCGGCUGUCUGGUCUGUAACUGACGCUGAGGCUCGAAAGUAUGGGUAGCAAACAGGAUUAGAUAC
rnacentral:rRNA from 1 species